UGAGUACGAGAUGCUACGGCAUCGAAGCAGUCUAUGUCAUACUUCCAAGAAAAGCUUGCACUGUCAGAAACAGAUAAUGCCUGUACCAUAACCGACACAGGUGGGUAGGUAGAGUAUACUAAGGGGCGCGAGAUAACUCUCUCUAAGGAACUCGGCAAAAUGACUCCGUAACUUCGGGAGAAGGAGUGCCUUAUUUUUAAGGUUGCAAUAACAAGAUCCAAGCAACUGUUUACCAAAAACACAGGUCUCCGCUAAGUCGUAAGACGAUGUAUGGGGGCUGACGCCUGCCCAGUGCCAGAAGGUUAAAGAAGUCGGUUAGCAUUCGCGAAGCUGGUAACUGAAGCCCUGGUGAACGGCGGCCGUAACUAUAACGGUCCUAAGGUAGCGAAAUUCCUUGUCGGGUAAGUUCCGACCCGCACGAAAGGCGUAAUGAUUUGGAUACUGUCUCGGAGAGGGGCUCGGUGAAAUAGACUUGUCUGUGAAGAUGCGGACUACCUGCACCUGGACAGAAAGACCCUAUGAAGCUUUACUGUAACUCGAAAUUGAAAUUGGACUUUAUUUGCGCAGUAUAGGUGGGAGGCGUAGAAAAUAUUCUUGCGGGAAUAUUGGAGCCAUCAGUGAGAUACCACUCUUGUAAUGUUAGAUUUCUAACUUUGUAUCAUUAUCUGGUUAAAGAACAGUUUCAGGCGGGCAGUUUGACUGGGGCGGUCGCCUCCCAAAUGGUAACGGAGGCGCACAAAGGUUUCCUCUGAACGGGUAGAAAUCGUAUCUAGAGUGUAAAGGCAUAAGGAAGCUUGACUGUGAGACCUACAAGUCGAGCAGGGACGAAAGUCGGUCUUAGUGAUCUGACGGUGCUGAGUGGAAAGGCCGUCACUCAACGGAUAAAAGUUACUCUAAGGAUAACAGGCUGAUCUCCCCCAAGAGUUCACAUCGACGGGGAGGUUUGGCACCACGAUGUCGGCUCAUCGCAUCCUGGGGCGGUAGUACGUCCCAAGGGUUGGGCUGUUCGCCCAUGAAAGCGGUACGCGAGCUGGGUUCAGAACGUCGUGAGACAGUUCGGUCCAUAUCCGGUGUAGGCGUUAGAAUAUUGAGAGGAGCCUUCUUUAGUACGAGAGGACCGAGAAGGACAUACCUCUGGUGUACCAGUUAUCGUGCCAACGGUAAACGCUGGGUAGCUAUGUAUGGAGUGGAUAACCGCUGAAAGCAUCUAAGUGGGAAGCCCACCUCAAGAUAAG
rnacentral:rRNA from 1 species